UAAGACGAACCUUGCUAACGUUAUUCGGAAUCACUGGGCUUAAAGGGUGCGUAGGCUGUGCGGAAAGUUGGGUGUGAAAUACCUCGGCUUAACCGAGGAAUUGCGCCCAAAACUACCGUGCUCGAGUGAGACAGAGGUGAGCGGAACUUAGGGUGGAGCGGUGAAAUGCGUUGAUAUCCUAAGGAACACCGGUGGCGAAAGCGGCUCACUGGGUCUUGUCUGACGCUGAGGCACGAAAGCCAGGGUAGCGAACGGGAUUAGAUACCCCGGUAGUCCUGGCCGUAAACGAUGAGCACUUGGUUGAAGGGCCCCUCAUAGCCCUCCAGCCGGAAUGAAAAUAUUAAGUGCUCCGCCUGGGGAGUAUGGUCGCAAGGCUG
rnacentral:rRNA from 1 species